CAUCACGACUCACGUGACCGAACCACCCCUCGUCACAGCGGCUUUGAUACGUUCUCUUCCUGAGCUACUGCGCAUGUGUGGGAGCCUCGGUGUCAGAGGAGUAGCACCGGGUGAACGGUCCGUCUGGUGGUUCUUCAUGACUGCCCAGGUGCUCGUGUUGUACUUCGCUAAGAGUGCCGAGCUGACCGGCCGGAAGGAGGAGGAGCUUCCUGACGUCCCGACACCAAUCAGCAGCGGUGACCUCUGGAGGCUGUUGCUACGGCGACACCCGAGGCUGUCAGCGCUGCAGCAUCACGUGGUCUUGGCGGUGCGUCAGCAGUACGUUGCCGUGGGCGACCAGGUGGUGACUCUGGCGGACGGAGACGAGGUCGCCGUGGUGCCGCCGCUCAGCGGAGGAUAGAACGAUGUCGGAGGAGUCCAGAGACGUCUUCAAGCUGAGCCGUGAUUGGCUGUCUGUCCAGGAAGUGGUUGACGCCGUCAGCAGCUCUUCCUGUGGAGCCGUUUCAGUUUUUAUCGGUACGACCCGUGAGGACCAGAUGGAGGGCAGGAAGGUGAUUGGUCUGGAGUACGAGG